rnacentral:rRNA from 1 species
GACGAACGCUGGCGGCGUGCUUAACACAUGCAAGUCGAACGAAGUGGCGAACGGGUGAGUAACGCGUAAUCAACCUGCCCUUCAGAGGGGGACAACAGUUGGAACCGACUGCUAAUACCGAAUACUGAAGGAGGGGAAUGCGUCUGAUUAGCUAGUUGGGGGGGUAACGGCCCACCAAUGUGAUGAUAAGUAGACGGUCUGAGAGGAUUAACGGCCACAGUGGGAAGUGGACACGGCCCAGACUCCGACGGGAGGCAGCAGUGGGGAAUCUUCCGCAAGGGACGAAAGUCUGACGGAGCAACGCCGCGUGAUGGAUGACGGCCUUCGGGUUGUAAAGCUCUGUUAAUCGGGACGCGGUACCGGAAUAGAAAGCCACGGCUAACUACGUGCCAGCAGCCGCGGUAAUAC